rnacentral:rRNA from 1 species
GAUGAACGCUGGCGGCGUGCCUAAUACAUGCAAGUCGAGCGAACGGACGAGAAGCUUGCUUCUCUGAUGUUAGCGGCGGACGGGUGAGUAACACGUGGAUAACCUACCUAUAAGACUGGGAUAACUUCGGGAAACCGGAGAUAAUACCGGGUAAUAUUUUGAACCGCAUGGUUCAAAAGUGAAAGACGGGCUUGCGGUCACUUAUAGAUGGAUCCGCGCUGCAUUAGCUAGUUGGUAAGGUAACGGCUUACCAAGGCAACGAUGCAUAGCCGACCUGAGAGGGUGAUCGGCCACCCUGGAACUUAGCCACGGACCAUACUCCUACGGGAGGCACCAGUAGGGAACCUUCCGCAAUGGGCGAAAGCCUGACGGAGCAACGCCGCGUGAGUUAUGAAGGUCUUCGGAUCGUAAAACUCUGUUAUUAGGGAAGAACAUCUGUGUACGUAACUGAGCACAUCUUGACGGUACCUAAUCAGAAAGCCACGGCUAACUACGUG